AAAGUUAGUCUAACCAAGACA
rnacentral:tRNA from 14 species